CUGAGGCACGACCGCAUGACUCGUCUUCUCUAAUUGCGAUGUUAACUCCCAACGAAAGUAGCAACCCUCAAUUUCAACCUCCCUCAUCUCAAGCAUCUGUUGAGGGUGGAAGUGGGCUUCCAGAGAAUGUGAUUAAUGUUGAACAGGAUGGUGAUGAGGAUGAAGAAGAAGUAGAAGUAGAAUAAAAUGGGAGAAAAAGAAAAUUGAAUCUGCAAUGUGGAAUGAAUUCAAGAGGGUAAAAGUUGGAGAUGUUUGGAAGGAAAAAUGUAAUUAUUGUUCAAAGAAUCUUUUGAGUGUAACAAAGAAUGGUACAUCUCAUUUGAAAGCCCAUCUAGAGACAUACAUCUAUCGAAAGAGGAAUCCUAGAGAUAAGGUCCAAAGCUCUUUGAGGUUCACAUCUAGUAGCGAACAAGGACAAGUGUCGAUUGAGAAGUAUGUUUUCGACCAAGAUGUGGCGAGAAAGGCCCUUG